AUGAAGCAGCCGGCGGCGAGCCCGGGGCGCGCGGAGAAGCCGCAGCUGCCGGCGCCGCCGGGGCUGGCGCGGCUGCUGCUCAGCAAGAGCCGGCGCGGGGCGCGGUCGCGCCGCGCGCCGGCCACGUCGCCCAUGUUCGUGUCGCGGGGCCGGACCCGCGCGGCGGCGGCGGCGGCGGGGGCGGGCGGGGAGCCGUCGUCGCCCAAGGUCACCUGCAUUGGCCAGGUGCGGAUGCGCAAGGGGAAGAAGGGCAGCAAGAAGGGGGCGCCUGCGCCGCCGGCCAAGGAGGAGAAGGCCAGGGGCUACUGCCGGUGCCUCAAGAAGGCGUUCCUCUGCGGCGGGCUCUUCGACUUCGACCGGACGCGCCGGCGCAAGGGGCCGCCGCCGGAGGCGGAGCGCACCCGCCGGUCGCCCUGGGUGUUCAGCAGCAGGGACGUGGCCGUCGCCGCCGCGCCCAAGCCGCCGGAUCCGGCCAGCGACCGCGCCGAGGAGGAGGGGGAGGAGGACGACAAGUCGGCGGGAGCCUUCGGCUCGGCGGAGAGAUACGAGAAGGCGAGUGACCCGGGGACCGACAGCGGUGGCAAGGAGGAGGAGGAAGAGUGCGAGGAGGAGGCUGCGGAGCUCGUGUCGUCGGCCACCACCACGCCGCCCAAAAACGCUCUGCUCCUCAUGCGCUGCCGCUCCGCGCCGCAGAACCGCUCGUCCCCGCUCACCUCCAGGUUCGCCGCCGGCGCCGCGCCGUCGCCGCGGAAGCCGGACAUGUUGCAGUCACCACGGGCGUCGCCAUCUCCGCGCAAGCCGGACAUGGUGGCGGUGGAAAGCAACGACGAGAAGCGGCAAGAAAUGGCAGUAUCCACGCAGGAAGACGAGGAGAAGCCGCACGAACAAGAUCACGAAGCCGACGACGAGGAGGAGGAGGAAGACGAAGCGGAAGAGAUGCGGUGCUCGUCGGCGCGGCCACUGGUGCUGCAGAGGUGCAAGUCGGAGCCGGCGACGACCGCUGCGGCGAAGAUGUCUACCGGUGCCGGGGCCGAGGGGGCGCCGUCUGGCUGCUUCUGGGCCAACGGCGGGAGCAGCGGGCGGCGGAGGCACGCGCCGCAGAUGUCGCCGGCGGCCGCCGCCGCUGCGGUGGCUUUGACCGGUCACUGA
rnacentral:rRNA from 1 species